GCAGACCAUCAGAAGAGCCAAAGCCUGAUUCCAGCUCCUGACUCUUGGAUGGCCUUACGCCUUGUUUUAUCCAGUAAAAUGCAGUAAAUGUAAUGCAGUAAGAUAAGAAAUCGAGUGGAGAAGAAACACAAAUUACCACCAGCUGGUAAACAGCCAUUUCAGAAUCCUCCUCCUCCACCUAAACAAAGAAGUCCACACAGGCACAAGAGUGGACUGUCAUCUCUAUCAGUCAAGACUGCUGGGUCUGCAAGAACUGUUCAGCUACAAUUCACCCAGCCUUUUAUAAGAUCCAGAUGACCUCGUACCUCUAUAUUUGCACUGGUGUGUUUUGGCAGAUGAGGAAAUAAAAUCUUUGUCAGGAAA